UCGCGCCAAGGCCCGCUUUGGAUCGUUAAGUCAGUGGGCCGUCUAAAUCCCCCGGCAUCCCCCACCCGCCAUGGCGACCUCAACCCUCUCGUUCUCCUCCCCUUCUCCCCAUCGCGACUCCACCAGCCCCCGCACCCCGCGACCCACUCCAUCUCCAAGCCGACCUCGCCCUCCCCGCCACCGCCGGUCCCCCGUCGCCGCCGGGCGAUCCCUGCGCCCUGGCGAGUCUCUCCGGGCCAAGGCCAACCUCCUCGCCCUCAUCUCCGACCAGGACCGCGGCCUCCGGACGCAAAGAGACCCCUCGAAGCGAGCGGAGAUCGUCGCCGCCAUCGAGGCACUCGCCGUCCAUGGCAAGGAUGCCGUCACCACGGGCUCCUCCCUCUCGGGCACCUGGCGGAUGCUGUGGACCACCGAGAAGGAGCAGCUCUUCAUCAUCAAGAACGCCUCCCUUUUCGGCACCGAGGCCGGCGACGUCCUUCAGGUCAUAGAUGUCGAGAAGGGCCUCUUGAACAAUGUGAUCACGUUUCCUCCCUCCGGGGUUUUCUUCGUUCGGUCCUCCAUUGAAGCCGAGCCCCCUCAAAGAAUAAAUUUUAGAUUCACGAGUGCGGUUCUGAGAGGGAGCGACUGGGAGAUUCCAUUGCCGCCGUUUGGACAAGGAUGGUUUGAAUCUGUAUAUCUAGAUGAAGAUAUUCGAGUUGCAAAGGACAUACGAGGGGACUAUUUAGUUGUUGAUCGUGCUCCUUAUUUUUGGAAAGAGUAAAAACGUGGAGAUGGCAAUCAAGUGACUGUUUAGAGUCCAUUUACCUUGUCUUGAAGCUACUGCACCAACUACUAUGAUGAGAGGAGCGCUGGGGUGUGUGAUUGGUGCCUGAGCGAAGAGCGAAGCGGUCUGAAGCACGGACUCCAUUCCAAGAAGUCAGCAGGAAGAGAUGGCAGCAGUGAUAAGGUCAAGG